CUUGUAAAAUACCCACAUGUUCUCCUCUGGAAUGGCUCCAGACUGUAACUAAACCACGAGGUUGCCCCCUGGUGCUUUAUGUAUUUUGCCCCCACUUCCU